GAUUAAACCCAACACAAUUAGGCUUAAUUAGGCUCAAUAAAAUCCUAAUCAAAUCAGGAAUUAACUAAACCUAACCCCUGAUCAAAUCAGGGACUAAGCCACCUUAGCGAUUGGAUCAACACUUAACCUAAUCGGGUCAAUCCAAACUGAAUCCAAUUCAAUUGGACUUGAUCUAAAAAUAAUUAUUCAAUCAAAUUGAGUUAAUUAGCGAUCAAACUACUAAUUAAACCUCUCAUAAAUAUUGAGUCCAAAUUCGAUGGGCAAUUAGGCAUCAGAGACCAUCGAUAUGAAACUCUGAUCAAAGAGUUCAAAUUUCAAAUUUAAAAUUUGAAAUUUAAAAUUUUGACCCCGGUACCCAAAAUGUGUGGAACUCAUGAUCAGAGAAUCCUAAUUCUCAAUCAUAGAGUUUCAGACACAUAAGACUCAUAAUCAGCCAUCAGAUCAGAAAGGAACCUCUAAUGUGUGUGACCCCGCAGGUUCGAACUUAAGNN
rnacentral:lncRNA from 1 species